rnacentral:rRNA from 1 species
AUUGAACGCUGGCGGAAUGCUUUACACAUGCAAGUCGAACGGCAGCACGGACUUCGGUCUGGUGGCGAGUGGCGAACGGGUGAGUAACAUAUCGGAACGUAUCCAAUAAUAGGGGAUAACGGGUCGAAAGAUUCGCUAAUACCGCAUACGCCCUACGGGGGAAAGCUGGGGACCUUCGGGCCUGGCGUUAAUGGAGCGGCCGAUAUCUGAUUAGCUAGUUGGUGAGGUAAAGGCUCACCAAGGCGACGAUCAGUAGCUGGUCUGAGAGGACGACCAGCCACACUGGAACUGAGACACGGUCCAGACUCCUACGGGAGGCAGCAGUGGGGAAUUUUGGACAAUGGGCGCAAGCCUGAUCCAGCCAUUCCGCGUGAGUGAAGAAGGCCUUCGGGUUGUAAAGCUCUUUCGCAAGGGAAGAAAACUUAGCCACUAACAUUGGUUGAGGUUGACGGUACCUUGAUAAGAAGCACCGGCUAACUACGUGCCAGCCGCCGCGGUAA